ACUACUUUGGCCUACCUGGUGAAAUGCCGGUGAGAUCCGCAACGUCUAUCCUUUCGGGCUGCGGGGAAGAAUGGAGAGCAGCGCCGGAUGGUAACCUGCGUCGAUCUCGCACGGUGCUCUGUAGCUGAGGGCUGCGAGGGGAGCUCAGCCCAGGGGAGAUUUCACUCGAGCUGGACGCGUCGUCGCGGUUGGCCGAGGGGAGGCGGCUGUCGUGUGAGUCCCGGAACAAUGGCGGCAAAGUGGCUUCUAGCAACGGCGAAGAGUGAGAGUGAAACUGCUGAAAACACUACAAUGCUGAAAUAGUUUUGUGGUGUCAACUUGAGAACCAAAGGAAAGUUCUUGCGGGCAAGAUACCUUGUUGGGUUUGGCGAAGCUGCAUUUUGAGGUCCUCAACGUGAGCGGUGGUCCACUGCAGCUUCU